rnacentral:rRNA from 1 species
AGCUCCAAUAGCGUAUAUUAAAGUUGUUGCAGUUAAAAAGCUCGUAGUUGGAUUUCUGUCUUUGGGGAGCGGUCCGCCUCACGGUGAGCACUGCUGCUCUGGGGACAUCCUCUCGAAGGCGUCUGGUGCACUUAAUUGUGUGCUUGAUGGAUUCGGGACCUUUACUUUGAAAAAUUAGAGUGUUCAAAGCAGGCGUCGGCUUGAAUACAUUAGCAUGGAAUAAUGGAAUAGGACUUUGGUUCUAUUUUGUUGGUUUCUAGGACCGAAGUAAUGAUUAAUAGGGACAGUUGGGGGCAUUAGUAUUUAAUUGUCAGAGGUGAAAUUCUUGGAUUUAUGAAAGACUAACUACUGCGAAAGCAUUUGCCAAGGAUGUUUUCA